GAGUGAGCAGCAUCUUCAGCCGCGACGCCGAGCUGUCGGGUGUUUCUUCAGCGGAGGGACUAUUCGUACAGGAGCUGGUGCAGCACGUAGCGGUUCGCGUCGACAACACGGACACUUCCGCGUCACAAAUGUCAGCAUCUAACGCGGUCCAGGAGUCUCUUAAGAACAUCCCAUUGUCCGGCAUCAAGGAACCCCGCCGCUUCAGCGUCGACCGACCCUUCAUGUUCUUCAUCAUCGAUCGCCUCGACAACUUGGUUGUUAUUGCUGGGAAAGUCAUAGACCCAGAAGCACCGACGCCGUUCCAAAUUUAAACAAGAUUUUU